AGCGGCGGACGGGUGAGUAACGCGUGGGAAUAUGCCCUUCUCUAAGGAAUAGCCUCGGGAAACUGAGAGUAAUACCUUAUACGCCCUUCGGGGGAAAGAUUUAUCGGAGAAGGAUUAGCCCGCGUUAGAUUAGGUAGUUGGUGGGGUAAUGGCCUACCAAGCCUACGAUCUAUAGCUGGUUUGAGAGGAUGAUCAGCCACACUGGGACUGAGACACGGCCCAGACUCCUACGGGAGGCAGCAGUAGGGAGUCUUAGACAAUGGGGGAAACCCUGAUCUAGCCAUGCCGCGUGUGUGAUGAAGGCCUUAGGGUCGUAAAGCACUUUCGCCAGAGAUGAUAAUGACAGUAUCUGGUAAAGAAACCCCGGCUAACUCCGUGCCAGCAGCCGCGGUAAUACGGAGGGGGUUAGCGUUGUUCGGAAUUACUGGGCGUAAAGCGCACGUAGGCGGAUUAGUAAGUUAGAGGUGAAAUCCCAGGGCUCAACCCUGGAACUGCCUUUAAUACUGCUAGUCUUGAGUUCGAGAGAGGUAAGUGGAAUUCCGAGUGUAGAGGUGAAAUUCGUAGAUAUUCGGAGGAACACCAGUGGCGAAGGCGGCUUACUGGCUCGAUACUGACGCUGAGGUGCGAAAGUGUGGGGAGCAAACAGGAUUAGAUACCCUGGUAGUCCACACCGA
rnacentral:rRNA from 1 species